GCUGUGAACAGCACCAAAAAAGGGAAAAGCAGCAAAUUAGUGCUACUGGUACAGCUGUGGAUGGUUAAGAAGUAAAGCCCAUAGGGCCUCCAUGUGAGUGCUCUCAGCUGUUGGAGGAGAGGAGUGGAGCUGAUCUGUGCUGGGCACUUCUGCUGGUCCUGUCCGAGCAGCAGGAGAUGCCUAAUCACAAGCGGGUCUGAGCAUCAAAGGCAGUUUUGCCGAUGCCGACACAACAGGGAUUUCAGCCCCUCCACCAUGGGACAAGAAGAGGCCCUGAGCACCAAGGACGUGUGUUUCCCUGAUCUGCUGCCACACUUCUGCAUCUGGAGGUGUCCUCAGAGGCCGUGAUCCGGCCCUGAAGUGUGCAAGGGCUGGCUGCGGGGCCAAGGGAAAAACAAGCUUGUGUGUGACACAGCAGUGAUGUUGGUGCUGCUUCUUACAAAUGCCAGUGAUGGGCACCUGGCAGAUGGGCCAGGAGCACCUUCUGCAGAGCACAGAUGUGACGUUUGGGAAUCUCAGCCCGUAUGCGUAACAGUGAUACAAUGCCCAAGGAGGGGCACGCUCUGUGGGGAAUGUGAGUGUGACCCAGUUUUAAGGUCGUUUGGAGUCUGUUGACUUUGGGCUGCUCUCUGUGGCCGCGGAACCUGACUUUCGUCAGACAACAGCCGGACAGAGUCUCCUGAUGGAGGGAGGUGUUUGCAUCAAGCAAAGUGUGCUGAGAGGGCAGGGAGCUGCUGCUUCUGGGACCUCGUGACUCUCUGGGACAGAGGAGAACAAGAGCAAGAGCUAUGGCAGCUUUGAACCACGCUGGAUCAGUGAGAUAGGUUUGGGAGCUCUUCGUUUCCUAUGGUCACACUAUGCAUGCGUGGAAAAUUAAUGCCAACGACAAAACCUCUGCAAGGACGUCAGCACCCACCUGGGGAGCACUGUAGUGAGGCUGUGGAUGUCAGCAGGGCGAGCUGCAAUACCACAGCCCGCGCGUUAAACGGGAAAUGAAACAGAAAUGGAAAUGAACGCCCGCAUCUGUCCCGUUUUUAAGGUAAAGGCAGAAAUCACCUCGUGUCUCCCAGUCCGGCCACGUUCACCCAAGGAAGGUGGGGAGAAGUCAAUGUCCAGGGAAAAUGUGCAACCAUCAUCUGCAAACGAAGAGUGGGAAAUCCUACGGGAUACGGUGAUGGAGCAAAAGGGGGGGAUGGAAAACAUCUGUACGUCGGUUGAGCAUCGGGAGCCUUUGUGCCCGAGUCGUUUUGGAAGGCGGAGGGGCAUCGGGACUUCCCGUCCCUCCCUGUGCCCUUCCUGUGUUGCGCAGCGGUCACAGAGAAGGACGCACCGGGGAGCGCUGGGCACAGCCGUGUCCCCGAAAUUUGCACCUGCAAAGAGGGAGCGAGCCAGGCGAGGGGAAUGUGCGACGGGAUGGAGAAAUAUCGAAUGUUUCUGGCCGUGUGCGUUGCCAGAGGUUUGCACAUUUUGUCUGAAAACACCCAGAGUUAGAGGCGGAGGGAAGGGAGGGGGGAUUUUAAUAAAAACCAUUUGCCACUUGUCUUCAAUUAGAGUCCAGACAUCGAGCAAUAAGGAAAAAACCUUUUCUAAAAUAUAUAUAUAUAUUAUUAUUAUUAUUAUCUCGCUAGCAGUCGGGCUGAAGAGGUAAAGGCGGUUCGCACGCAACGAUUUCAGGGCAAGGAGUUAAAACGAGCGAGCGAAUUCAGGCGUCGUUGUCGCCGUUCGUGCCGGCUCCUCCUGCCCCGGCAGCUCCCCGCCUCGCCCCGGCACACGCCGCGGAGCUUCGCACCGCUUCCCCGCACGGGAAGGGCUCCUCCGCCCGCGGACGGACCCCCGACGGCAG
rnacentral:lncRNA from 1 species